UGGGGAAUAUUGCACAAUGGGCGCAAGCCUGAUGCAGCAACGCCGCGUGAGGGACGACGGCCUUCGGGUUGUAAACCUCUUUUGGCAGGGAAGAAGCGAAAGUGACGGUACCUGCAGAAAAAGCACCGGCUAACUACGUGCCAGCAGCCGCGGUGAUACGUAGGGUGCAAGCGUUGUCCGGAAUUACUGGGCGUAAAGGGUGCGCAGGCGGUCUUGCAAGUCAGAUGUGAAAGCCCCGGGCUUAACCUGGGAAUUGCGUUUGAAACUACAAGGCUAGAGUGCAGCAGAGGGGAGUGGAAUUCCAUGUGUAGCAGUGAAAUGCGUAGAGAUGUGGAAGAACAUCGAUGGCGAAGGCAGCUCCCUGGGUUGACACUGACGCUCAUGCACGAAAGCGUGGGGAGCAAACA
rnacentral:rRNA from 1 species